CCCAUCAGAAUAGCACAGGAUGAGGUGAUGGAGGCUGUGCAACAUAUUGGCGAUGGAGAAGAUGGACGAUGGGACUGAUUGAAGAGCAUCUGAGUGGUAGAAUCUGAGCUUGUUUGAAUACUUUUGCAGGUGACCGAAAGAGACAAUCCAAAAAGACUAACACAGCAUCCAAGAGAUGUCAGGUGGGCCUUCUGGAGCAAAGACAGAUGCAGAAAUGGAGGAAGCCAGGUUCUGAGGAGGGACAGACAAAAGAGACAGUGGCUAGAGAAGGACACGGAAUCAAGGGACACGUGGCACAGACUCCCAAAUGACUCCAAAUGACUUCACUUUUGCUUUCUUUCUCGAGUUUUUACCUUCCAGGAGGAAGUCUUGUGAUUACAUUGGACCCUCCCAGAUACUCCAGGACAAUGUCCUCAUCUCAAGAUCCGUAACAUGAUCACAUCAGCUGAGUCCUUUGCCUGUGAGGUAACGUAUUCAUAGGUUCUGGGAAUUAGGAUGUGGCCAUCUUGGGGGGUGGUGCAUUAUUCUAUCUGCUAACUAGGGCAAUCAUAGAUAAGCUGCCAAAAGGGGGUGACAUUUUGUUUUCAAUUAAUUUUUAUUGGAGUAUAGUUGUUUUACAAUGUUGUGUUAGUUUCCGCUGUUCAGCAAAGUGAUUCAGCUAUAUGUAUUCAUA